UACGUAGGGGGCAGGCGUUGUCCGGAAUCAUUGGGCGUAAAGAGCGUGUAGGCGGCUCGAUAAGUCUGCUGUGAAAGUCCAGGGCUCAACCCUGGAAGGCCGGUGGAAACUGUCGGGCUAGAGUCCGGAAGAGGCGAGUGGAAUUCCCGGUGUAGCGGUGAAAUGCGCAGAUAUCGGGAGGAACACCAAUGGCGAAGGCAGCUCGCUGGGACGGUACUGACGCUGAGACGCGAAAGCGUGGGGAGCAAACAGG
rnacentral:rRNA from 1 species